rnacentral:rRNA from 1 species
CUGAUUCAGGGAGGUAGCGACAAGAAAUAACGAUAGCGGGCUCGUUCGAGUCCGCGCAUCGGAAUGAGGACAAUUUACACCCCUUCUCGAGGAUCCAUUGGAGGGCAAGUCUGGUGCCAGCAGCCGCGGUAAUUCCAGCUCCAAUAGCGUAUACUAAAGUUGUUGCAGUUAAAAAGCUCGUAGUCGAAUGUAGAUUGUACAGGUGCGCGGACGUUUAGGUGUAUAACUUAUAUUGUCUGUACGCCACAAUCACCCUUAUGUAGUACGGUUGUUUUGGUUUCCAGAACAAAUUUACCGACUACAUACAUUACUGUGAACAAAAUAGAGUGUUCAUGGCAGGCCAAUUAGGCUUGAAUACCUCAGCAUGGAAUAAUAGAAUAGGACUUCUGGUUCUAUUUUGUUGGUUUUUGGAGCCGAAGUAAUGAUUAAUAGGGAUAGUUGGGGGCACUCGUACUCCGUUGUCAGAGGUGAAAUUCUUGGAUUGACGGAAGACGAACAACUGCGAAAGCA